UUUCCUCAAUGAAAAAAAUAAUUCAGCCUAAUGAGCUCAGUAGGUGGUAUCAGAGGCAUUAAAAGACAGGUGUGGCACAAAGUAUGUGUAUCCUUAAAAAAGCUACAAGAGAUUUUUUAUAAUGGUAACAUUUGCUUUUUCUGAACAGCUGAACCAGGCAACACAUCACCCAGUUCAGCAGUGCAAACAUGUAGAGUGUUAAUGGUGUUACCAUAGUAAAAUGUACCCAUAUAUGGCUAGUGGGUGUUUUUGACUUACUGUAUUCCUAAUGUAAAUUAGCACCACAUUUGCUUAGUGCUGUAACUGUGUAUUUCUCUAACCUGUCAUGGUCUGGGCGAGUCUGAGUAACUUUCCACAGCAUCAGCUCUCCUCCUCUGGGUGGAGCCCUUCUUGCCCCUCCCCGUUCCUCAGCUGCAGGCAAUUAUUCUGGCAGUAUUUAGGAGCAGCGCACACAAUGAGUCUUCGCCAGAUUGUCUGCUAACCUCAUCGGUACCUGGACUCGUCAUCCAAACCCUGCCAUAGCCACGCUUCUGGAUUCCGGUCAGCUGCUGCUUAAUCCUUUUCAGGCAAACUGCCAUUCUCACCUGCCUGCCUCCCUGCGCACCCGUAAAGGACUCAGUACUGCCCGGACCUCGCCUCACCUCCACCUCCAGCUUAUCCCUGCCUGCGAACACUGCCCCUGGUCUGCCACAGUUUCCACCUGCCCCACUCCAGCCCUCAGCAGUUUAGUGACCUGACAGUUCCAUGCUUACCCUAAGCCCCGCACUUCACAGACACCACGCUUUUGCACAAAGUUUAAUCUUGUUUUUUUUU